rnacentral:rRNA from 1 species
AACGGCCUACCAAGGCGACGAUCCGUAGCUGGUCUGAGAGGAUGAUCAGCCACAUCGGGACUGAGACACGGCCCGAACUCCUACGGGAGGCAGCAGUGGGGAAUUUUGGACAAUGGGGGCAACCCUGAUCCAGCCAUGCCGCGUGUGUGAAGAAGGCUUUCGGGUUGUAAAUCACUUUCAGUGAGGAGGAAAACCUGGUGGUUAAUAUCCAUGAGGCUUGACGUUACUCACAGAAGAAGCACUGGCUAACUCCGUGCCAGCAGCGGAGGUAAUACGGAGGGUGCGAGCGUUAAUAGUAAUUACUGGGCGUAAAGCGCGCGUAGGUGGUUUGGUAAGAGAGAUGUGAAAGCCCCGGGCUUAACGCUGGGAACUGCAUUUCGAACUGUCAGCUAGAGUGUGGUAGAGGGUAGUGGAAUUUCCUGUGUAGCGGUGAAAUGCGUAGAUAUAGGAAGGACCACCAGUGGGGAAGGCGGCUACCUGGACCAACACUGACACUGAGGUGAGAAAGCGUGGGGAGCAAACAGGAUUAGAUACCUUUGU